rnacentral:sRNA from 13 species
AAUAAUAAUGAAGAAAAAGUAAAUGGCAACAACAAUGGCGACAAAUGUGGCAGUCCUCUGUUUUUUGCUGCCGCGCAAGGAAGUAAGGAAGAGUGAUUAAGAUGGUUAAUGGUGAUUCUUUU